CGGAGACCGAGACCGAGUCGGAGGAGGAGAUCUCUGAAGAGGAAGCCGGGGGUCGGAGAAAAAUGGAUGUAUCAGAAUGGUGUACAUGUGGGCAUUGCUGCACUAUGGAGACGGAGGCAGAAAACAUUUGUUGCAGAGAGGUGACCGUGGUACUAAAUAGAAUGCAACAGCUGGAGUCACCAGUCCACUGCAUGACAGACCAUCCUGGCCUUCAUCCA